rnacentral:rRNA from 1 species
GACGAACGCUGGCGGCGCGCUUAACACAUGCAAGUCGAGCGAAGCGGCGGACGGGUGAGUAACACGUGAGUAACCUGUCUGAGACAUUGGGAUAGCCACGGGAAACCGGGAUUAAUACCAAAUGGUCUAAGAUGGACUCGCGUCCCAUUAGCUCGUUGGUGAGGUAACGGCCCACCAAGGCGACGAUGGGUAGCCGGCCCGAGAGGGUGAACGGCGACAUUGGAACUGAGAAACGGUCCAGACUCUACGGGAGGCAGCAGUGGGGAAUCUUGCAAAAUGGAGGGAACUCUGAUGCAGCGACGCCGCGAGAGCGAAGGAGGCUGUCGAGUCGUAAAGUGCUUUUAUAUGGGAAGCGGUACCAUAAGAAAAAGCCCCGGCUAACUACGUGCCAGCAGCCGCGGUAAUUC